GCUUGUCUCAAAGAUUAAGCCAUGCAUGUCUAAGUAUAAAUAGUAUACAGUGAAACUGCGAAUGGCUCAUUAAAACAGUUAUAGUUUAUUUGAUAAUUGAAAAUUACAUGGAUAACCGUGGUAAUUCUAGAGCUAAUACAUGCUAUCAAGCCCGACUUCUUGAAGGGUUGUAUUUAUUAGAUGGAAACCAAUUCGGGGUAACCCGGUUAAUGGUGAUUCAUAAUAACUUUCGGAUCGACGCAAGUCGAUGCAUCAUUCAAGUUUCUGCCCUAUCAGUUGUGGAUGGUAGGGUAUUGGCCUACCAUGACUUUAACGGGUAACGGAGAAUUAGGGUUCGAUUCCGGAGAGGGAGCCUGAGAAAUGGCUACCACAUCCAAGGAAGGCAGCAGG
rnacentral:rRNA from 1 species